UGGAAGAGGACCAAUUUGGUUACAGCCCAGAGAUUAAGUAAAAGCAUAAUAUGAGAUGAAAUUGGGGAGGUAAACAGGGGCCAGGGCAUGCAGGUCUACAAUGAUUUUAAGAAUAUUGGUCAUUAGCAUAAGAGCAAUGUGAUCCCAUUGAUGUGCUUAAAGGACUGUCAUGUUAAUAUUUGCCUUGUGAAAAGAUCACUCUGGUUACUUUAUGGAGACUGAAUUGCAACGUAGCAGGACUCCAACACUGGAUAAGUUGAAAGCAUAAGUCCUGUAUCAUUUAGUAUGCCAAAUAAGCUGCCAUCACAGAAGGACCCUCGUAAUACAAUGGUUUACAGAGGGCAGAAGUUUAUUUCUCUCUUGCAUAACGAUAAGAGAGAUGAGUGCUGGUGGGCUGCCUCUCUUCUAUGCAGUCAUUCAGAGAACCACUUUUCUCAGUCUUAACGGUCUACCAUCCUGUGUCCCUAGACUAUUGUUCUUAUUUGCAUGGUCACAGUGGAGCCAUCUUCAGGCUGUCCUUUCAGCCCGUGGGUGGUGGAAAAAAUAGAGGGUAUACAAUUACCAUUUAUGCAAUAGUUCAGGGUUCGCACACAUCAUUUCUGGUAACAUUGGUUCAUGAAAACUUAAUCACAUGGCUGGCUACACACGUGGGAAGCUGGGCAGUAUCGUGACUAUGUUACCAUGUCCUUAUGUAUCGUCAAAAUUUAGCAGUCUCUGGCCCUAACAAGAUGUGAGAAUGAGGAAUGGUUAUUAGUCUAUACAUGGGCGAGCAGAAGUUCAUGGCCCUGUGUUCACUGUGGAUUUCGACACAGAGCCCGCUGUGGUGCUGUGUGGACACGACGCAAUGAAGGAAGCCCUGGCUGACCUGGCGGAGGCAGUUUCCUGGGGUGCAGUCAUCCAGGGAUCAGGGGUGCUCCAGUUUGGGGGGAUGUGUCUGGGCUUGAAUUGUUUUCAGCAGAGGAGAAAAAUGGAAGGAAGCCUGGCAUUUCUCCCUCAUGGCUUUGCAGAAUACGGGGAUGGAGGUGAAGAGUAUAGGAGACAGAAUUCAAGAGGAGCUGCGGGUCUGGUGGAAGCAUUAAAAAAAACAACUCAGUGGUGUGUAUUUCUUUAUGUAAUUCGCGGUAAUAGUUUGGGUGGAAUAAAUGCUGUUACAAACGGACUACAGAGAGAGAUGUUGGCUCAAGUACAGCAGAAGCUUUCUUUUUGCUCACAUAACAGAACUAAGGGUGAAGUGGCUGGCGCAACAGCCUUUUCAGGCACAAGGUUGACAGGAGCUUUGGUAAAUUUACCAUGUGACUUCCAGUGUCACCCAGGAUUCAUCUCCACAGAGCAACGAAAAUAGCGAACACCAAGGCAAAGAGCAAUAGGGUUUUUGACAGGCUGGAUACAGCAGUGGCCCACAAACUUCUUUCCCAUUCCAUGGGCCACCCCGCAAUCACAGGGCCACACCUGACUCUAAGGAACCAGGAAGUGUGGCUAUCUGUGUGCACGAAAAAAUACGAGAACAUGGAUUUUGGUAAUCAGCUAGUAGUUUGGGCAACAGUAAGUUGAAAACUGAAGUAACUUCUCUAGUAAUUUUUUGAGAAAUGUCACAAACAUUUUGCAAUAUAUGUAUGUCAAGUUAUUAUGCUCUGCACCUUAAACUUGUACAGUGCUGUCUGUCAAUUACAUCUCAAUAAAACAAAAUCAAAAACAGCCCUGGUAGUUCAGUGGUACAAUUCAGGCCAAGUCCUCACUGUGGACGGCUGCAUUACAGCCCUCAUGGAGGAGUGGCUGUGAAGGGAGGGGCCGCAGCAGCACAGACCCGCG